CUUUACAAAUUAGCUUAAGGAGAGAAAAAAAAUUAAUUUUUGUUGUUGAUCAUAUUGCAGUGGACUUGGUAGCUUCUCAAAUGAUCCGAGGUUGAACAAUGUGGUGGGACAUCUUCUUUAUUCCUCUAUUCUUGUACUUUACCAUGGCUGGAGAAUUAGCCACAGAACCAUGGGCAUGUUGAGAACGACGAAUCUUGGCAUCCUGCAAGUCUAACACGGCUUUUUAUUUUGUUCUCUUGUUUUAAUCCUUUUGGUGUUUCUUAGAUUCACACUGCCUCUUGUGAUGCUUGCUUUCUACUUGUUGGCUGAAGUCCGGGGAAAAAGGGUUCUCGACUUGUUCCUCCCUAAAGAGAAAACGGAUGUCCUCACUUCUACAGCUUGUUGGACUGCAAUGGCUGCUCUGCUUAUCUGCCUCAAACUGAAAAAAUCUGUGAAGCUGUUGAGAAAGUUGUGGUAUGAUGUGGUGUUGUGGAGGUUUCAGAGCGGUGGUGUUGUGGAGGUUUCAGAGCGGAUCCGUUUGAGGCUUUGAUGUGGCUCUGUUGGUGGCUCAGUUUAUGUUGACUUGUGUGUAGUUGUUUGUUGUUUGUAGUUUUUUUUGUUCAGGCUGCGACUUUGGCGAAGUGUGGAGGAG